AGUGCAGGGCUGCUGUCCCUGCGUGAGCUUCAGAGGCUGCGUAGGCUGAAUUAGCCUUUGGGUGACUUUUCUUGACAGAAGCAGGAAACAGCUUCUGGGAACUUUGCAGAAAGAUCUUGUUGGAGGCACCUUUGUGCAGAGUGAACCCUGUGGUGACAGAGUGGUGGGGAGGAGAGUUUGAAUGCUGGUAUUUCAGUUCUCUCCAUAUUCCUGGCUGUGUUUUGCCAGCUCAGAUGUUUUCCGGAAGCAGGUGAUGAGCUGCAGAGGAGUGGGUUCUCCAGAGCGCCCCUAGGAAGAGCUUUCCAGUUCCCUUGUGGGCACUGUGUGUCCUUGGAUGGGUCGGGGCUGGUGGUGAGUUCCGGAGCUGGCAGGCUCUGAGGGAGUACACACUAGCUCCAGCACCUUCCCUAGUGCCUGCAGUGCUUGAGGGGACACUUAGAAUGGCAUUAACACCACAUUCUUGGGUUUGGAUUCUGUAGCCAGCCUUUGGUUUAUUAAAAGAGGUCCAGUCAUUCUACAGCAUGGCACUGCCUGAGCAAAGACACCCACAGGGUGUGUAGAAAACGUGGGCUUGCUUGGUCUGCAAGAGGCACAAGAAGCUCUAGGAGAGGGUGGUAUUUGGUAGGGAAUCAUGAACAAACAUGCAAGAAAAGGUUCCAUGGUGCGUGUUGAAGUGUGACCAAGAGCUCCAACUGAACUCUAGCUUUUUUCCUGUUUUAUUUUUGGUAUUUUAAUGAUAUGUUUAACAGAAUUCAGGAUUGGUUAUUAUUACAUGGUUAUUAUUACUUAAAUAACCAUGCAUAUCUUCAGUAAUAUAUUAUGAAAUGCAGAAUAACUUUGUUACAGUAUUAAUCAUUUCAUAAUUUCACAUUUCUGAAAAGUGAAUUAAAAAAUACUGGCCUCAAUUAAAUUAUGAUCGCUUAGUAGAGUGUAUUAUUCAGCAGUUAUUUUCAUGACCUGAAAUUGUUAGCUGAGCCUACCUUUACAGUACAAAUUCCACUUUUGGCAUGUGUAAACAUUAACGAUUAGUAAAAUCCAGAGGAAUUUGUCAGCCUAAUCGCUGGAGUACCAGCGGUUGCCAGUUAAGGGCUGGCAUCACUGUCAACAAAAUUACUUAAGUGAAGGCUCCUGUGUUCCAUGUGAGGUGCUUACAGUUCCGUAAGUGUACCAGAGUUAUCACUAGUUAGAUGGUUAGAAUAUCUCAAUUAAAUCCCAUUCAUAUUGCUAAAUGCUGAAUUAUGUGCUGUGAGAAGCUUCAGACUACAUCUUUUAAGACCAAAUGCCACAUUACUUUGAAACCAGCUUUUAUGAUAGUUGGAACUGAGCUUGGCAUCUUGGUGGCAAUUUAUAUCAGCUUAAAAAGUGUGAUGGAGGCCUAUAUACUUCUGAAUUGAGAGCGUUUGGGGCUUGAUUUCUCGUAGUGCCUGGCAGCAUGCCAUCACAUUGGUGGUAUAGCUGUAGAUGAGCAGGAGGGUGUCUGCUGUGUUGUGAAACUUGCCUGUGGUUUGGUAGAGAAUAGCAGCGUGUGGAGUAAUGAAAUAUCCUGGAUCUUAGUACUGUUAUCUGCAUUUCUUUUACGUGCUUACUCAUCUAUCCCUUCUGCUUCUGGAAACUGAAUGUUUUAAGACAUGAAAAGCCAGCACGGUUCCUUCAUCUAGAAACAAGCAGAAACAGGAUGUGGGAGGAAAAAAAAUCAAGUGCCGUAAACUCUGUCACAUGAGGAAGUGUGCAGUAAAAAAACAAAGAUAAUUAAAUUUGGGUCUCGUGAGUCACAGCACGGAGCCUCUUUGCUCAGCUCCACAGGCAAUUCAGCAGGCCAGCUUCUUGCCCAAGAGAGACUAAGUUUCCAGUGUGCUCAUCAUUCUUUUCUAGGAAAAACCUGCCUGUCUGCUGCUGAUGGGCAAGUCAGCCUGAGGGCAUUUUGAAAAAAGGGGACACUAGAAUACAUGCUGCUGCUAUGUGAAAUUCCAAGGUAUACUGGAGCUAUUGUUCUCUAUGGACCUUCUUUGCCUAUUUUGGUUUUGCUCUGCAUUUCAAGUCAAUCAGAGGUGUUUCAGAGUCUUUUAACAUGAAAUGGUUGAAUGAAAUACUCCAGUUGAGCCUUUUUAAGAGUUUCUUGAGACGGGUCGUUGGCAUCAUAAUGGGAUUUGGGCACCAUUCAUGAAAGAGAGGAAACAAGUUCCUUAAUCUGGUUAAGCUUGACUGGGUUUGGCAUUUGUCUCCACUGAAGAGUGGUUCCAGUUGCUUCUCUGAUGUAAAGCAGGGACUUGAACUUGAAACUCCUACCCCUCAGAUGAGUGCUGAAAUCACCAGGCCAUUACAUAUUAUAUUUUCCUGUUUCAAAAGUGUGCUAACUGUAGUAGUUGCUCACCUAGGCAGGAAGCAGGUAUCCCACUACUGAGGGGAAUACCCAAACCACAGAGAUGCACUUUCAUUUUUUCUCAAGAGUCUGUAACUGUGUACAGUGAAAGACAGCUUCAACAGCAAAGAAUAGGGAAGAUGCACCCAGAUAGAGAGAGGAACUUCAUAUGGUUGGGGCGCACUGUCGAGAGCUGAAACUCACCUGUGUCCUGAUGGCUGUCUAUGGACUAUGCAGGGGUGACACACCAUCUCCAUCCUGCAAGCUGUGCUCAGGUUUCCCUUAGGCAUCUCUUUACCCCUAAGCACAUGCCUUUCAAAAAGACGUGUCACCAAGAAAAUCUCUGUUCCAAAUUCAGUCAAAUUCUUGAUUUUUUUUUUUUUUCUGGGUAACUCAAAAAGUUUUACUUUGAAAAGAGGCAGAAGAAUAUAAAAGCUAUUAGUAGAUUUCUGACAAAUUCUGUAAAAGUAAUAGUUUGGCUUGAGUGGCUCUCAAGCACUACCAACCCAACCAAAUUGCUUUCUAGUUCAUCCUAACCUUUCUUCUUCCAAUAAACUAUCCAUAUGCUAAUUUUACUACCUAAGAAUCAAAUCAAGCCUGUCCCGUAGUCUUAGGUAGCGAAAUGCACAAGACAAGACAUUGUUAGUAAUGUGUGAUAGCACAGUCUUGGAAAAUAAAGUAGAUAACACUGUGAAA